AUGUCACAUAAUUCGACCUAAUUGGGGAAUCAUAUUCCGUGGAGGGCUCUUCCAUUUUUUUUUGCUAAGAUAGAGGUCUUGAUCCUGCUUUCCUUCUGAUGGAAUUCAACAUUGACUCUGGCUAGUUAAAGGUUGUGAAGAAGUCAUUUCUACUUUACGCAGUGGUUCAGCUGCAGAGAAAGCGCUCACCAUCAUGCGAGAUAAAGGUUGCUUCAAGACUUCUCCACCAUGAGUAUCAGUUGCUGCAUGACCAGCCUGCAAGAUACCAUACCCCUGGACGGAUUGCCCAAACUCACUAUCUUGAUGUCCCGGUGGAUGGGCCAACUACCAGUGUGUCAUCUAUUGAUGGAAGUGAGAAGCUGCCUAGUGUUGAUGGU